rnacentral:lncRNA from 1 species
CUUGAGGCAGGAGCUGACCUAAGAGAAAACAGCCCGUGAACCCGUGCGGAGAGAGGCUGCUGGAGCUCCAGGACCUACAUCUGCCUGGACUGUGUUCUGGAGGCAUCAGCAGGACAACCUGGCUAUAGAAUGAGAUGAGACCUACCUCAAAAACCAAAUAAAACAUAUAGUGGCUGAUAGCUGAGGGAAAUAUGUACUAACAAACCUUGCCAGAUCAACCCACACCUCCGAGACAUCUCUACCUGGUUAUCCGAGACAUCUCUACCUGGUUAUCUGAGACAUCUCUACCUGGUUAUCUACCUCAGACCAAGCUCCCAAGUUUGUCACAUUUUCACAAUUUACUACUGCGCGUGCGUGUGUGUGUGUGUGUCUGUGCACACGCAAGCGUGCACACUUGUGUAUAUAUUUUUAGCUGUGUCUCUUUAUAAAGUUUCCUGUGGCAUGUAAAAGUUGAGUUAAAUAAAUGUGUUUGGUUUUUGUUGUUGUUGUUGUUGUUGAUUUCUUAUGCCAGUUUAACUCUUGGGCUCAAUUGAAAAACUCUAAAAGACUAAAGAUAAAACUUGGUUUCCUUCACAGAAGAGAUUCCACCCAGAAGAAUACAUACUGGAAGGGACCACAUCUUGAGAAGACAGCCAUUCAUCACAUGGGACCCAACGUACCGGGGCUCAGAACACCCUCUUCCCAGU